rnacentral:lncRNA from 1 species
CUUGGCCCUCAUCCAGCUUCAGAUUUCUUCCAUCAAAUCAGAUAACGUCACUCGCGCUUGUAGCUUCAUCCGGGAGGCAGCAACGCAAGGAGCCAAAAUAGUUUCUUUGCCGGAAUGCUUUAAUUCUCCAUAUGGAGCGAAAUAUUUUCCUGAAUAUGCAGAGAAAAUUCCUGGUGAAUCCACACAGAAGCUUUCUGAAGUAGCAAAGGAAUGCAGCAUAUAUCUCAUUGGAGGUAACUUCCUACCCACAAGGCUCUAUCCCUGAAGAGGAUGCUGGGAAAUUAUAUAACACCUGUGCUGUGUUUGGGCCUGAUGGAACUUUACUAGCAAAGUAUAGAAAGAUCCAUCUGUUUGACAUUGAUGUUCCUGGAAAAAUUACAUUUCAAGAAUCUAAAACAUUGAGUCCGGGUGAUAGUUUCUCCACAUUUGAUACUCGUAUGUACCAGAUAAGUUUGCCUCUUUAGCAAUCUCAGUAGAAGACAAUCAGGUAUUUAUUUCUUUUUUGUCUCUCUCCGAUUUCUUCACAUAACCUAACUGAAAGACCAUAAGUGAGAAAGGCAGAGAAUCAUCACAGAUCUGG